AUUGAACGCUGGCGGCAGGCCUAACACAUGCAAGUCGAGCGAGCGGCGGACGGGUGAGUAAUGUCUGGGAAACUGCCUGAUGGAGGGGGAUAACUACUGGAAACGGUAGCUAAUACCGCAUACCAUCAGAUGUGCCCAGAUGGGAUUAGCUAGUAGGUGGGGUAACGGCGCACCUAGGCGACGAUCCCUAGCUGGUCUGCGAGGAUGACCAGCAAGACUGGAACUGAGACACGGUCCAGAAUCCUACGGUAGGCAGCAGUGGGGAAUAUGGCACAAUGUGCGCAAGCCUGAGGUAGCGAUGCCGCGUGUGUGAAGAAGGCCCUCGGGUUGUAAAGCACUUUCAGCGGGGAGGCGUUACCCGCAGAAGAAGCACCGGCUAACUCCGUGCCAGCAGCCGCGGUAAUUC
rnacentral:rRNA from 1 species